UUCCCUUGAUUUGCCUACGAUUGUGUGGGAGAUGAAAAGCGUUUAUCUGAUGUUUGGAAUUUUCCUGUGGUGACAGCAGGAGAGAAAAAAAUGUCUUUUGCUUUUCCUCCAUCUUGGAAAGGGCUGAUGCACCUGGAGGAGAGUGAGGAGAAAAGGAAGUGAAGUUGCAAGCCAGGACAGCCUUGGAACUGGGUGAGGAGGGGCAAUUUUUCAGGAAAUUGAAGGACAGGAGAAGGAGCUUUUCGCCCUUAACAAUCCUGAGUUUGCUGCUGUGGAGGAAAAGGCUGAAAGUUCCCGGUUUCUGCGGUCACCGGCCGCCUGUGCCAGCGAGCUCAUAUCUGCCCUGUUGAGAGACACCUCCGCCCGUCUCGGCGGGCCGAGAGCAGGAACGCUGCCGGGGAGCGCCAGUGUCAGGCAGGCAUCGUGCCUAACUUUACCAGCCUGAUGGGAACAGACAGGGACAAAGGUUCCAGGUCAGCUCUACGACUGCACAGGCCUGUGCUGUCCCCUGGGAAGGGUCCUCCUGCCACACUGACUGCUGGUGACCUUGCAGAGGGACAUGGAGCUGCUGGCUGUCGUGGCACCAGAGGAAACAGGAAAGGAUGCAAAAGCAGCACAAGCUGAGGUGGAAGAAGUAGAAAAAGCAGCAGCAACAGGGGAGGUGGAAAGCUCAGCAGGAACAGGUCUGUGUGUAAAGCUGGUCAUUCCUGAAGGAGCAAAGGAGACAAUGGUGGAAGCAACAGAAAAACCAGAAGCAGGAAGAGAUGCUGAAGCAUUUGCCCGGGCAGCAGAAAGAAUUGCAGUAUCAGAAGUAGCCAAGGUGUUGCAGGCAGCAAUAGCUGAGCUCAAAGGGAAGAGGAAGAGCAUGUGGAUAAAGCCAAGGAACGCCACUCAGCAGGAGGACGAUUGGGUGAAAGAGGGAGAGGUGAAAUGAAACCAAGAAGAGGUGGUGUCUGGGUCAUACCUCCUAAUGGGGGGCCUGGUACCCUGACACUGUGACCACUCCUGGAACACAAUAGGGCUACCAAUCACAUCUCUUUUGUGACUGACUAUACUAUUAAAA